UGGCGGCGUGCCUAACACAUGCAAGUCGAACGAGAAAGUACCCUUCGGGGUGCGAGUAAAGUGGCAAACGGGUGAGUAACGCGUGGGAUAUCUACCCUGAUGAGAGGAAUAACUCUCCGAAAGGAGAGCUAAUACCGCAUAAUCCGGAAACGGGAAAGGCCUUAUGGUCGCAUCUGGAGGAGCCCGCGUCCGAUUAGCUGGUUGGUGAGGUAGUGGCUCACCAAGGCGACGAUCGGUAGCCGGUCUGAGAGGACGGACGGUCACACUGGGACUGAGACACGGCCCAGACUCCUACGGGAGGCAGCAGUGGGGAAUUUUGGGCAAUGGGGGAAACCCUGACCCAGCAACGCCGCGUGGAGGAAGAAGGUUUUCGAAUCGUAAACUCCUGUCCCACGAGAAGAAGCAAGUGACGGUAUCGUGGGAGGAAGCCCCGGCUAACUCCGUGCCAGCAGCCGCGGUAAUACGGGGGGGGCGAGCGUUGUUCGGAAUUACUGGGGCGUAAAGGGCGCGUAGGCGGUUUCGGAAGUCAAGGGUGAAAGCCCCGAGCUCAACUCGGGAAUUGCCUUUGAAACCACGGAACUAGAGUGUUGGAGAGGAGAGCGGAAUUUCCAGUGUAGCGGUGAAAUGCGUAGAUAUUGGAAGGAACAUCUGAGGCGAAGGCGGCUUUCUGGACAGACACUGACGCUGAGGCGCGAAAGCCAGGGGAGCGAACGGGAUUAGAUACCCCGGUAGUCCUGGCUGUAAACGAUGAACACUUGGUGUGGGGGGUAUAAAGUCCCUCCGUGCCGAAGAUAACUCGAUAAGUGUUCCGNCUGGGGAGUACGGGCGCAAGGCUGAAACUCAAAGGAAUUGACGGGGGCCCGCACAAGCGGUGGAGCAUGUGGUUUAAUUCGACGCAACGCGAAGAACCUUACCGGGGUUUGAACUGUACCGGCGACAUCCAGAGAUGGAUGUUUUCUUUCGGUAAUGGUUUAUAGAGUGUGCUGUCAUGGCUGUCGUCAGGUCGUGGUCGUGAGAUGUUUGGUUUAGUCCUCGCUACGAGCGCAUACCCUUGUCUGUAGUGGCCAUCAGGUUUUAGCUGGGCACUCUUACGUAGACUGUCGUCUAUAAUCCGGAGGAAGGUGUGGGAUGACGUCAAGUCCUCAUGCCCUUUAUGUCCCGGUCUACGCACGUGCUACAAUGGAUGGAACAGAGGGCAGCAAGCCUGCGAAGGCAAGCGAAUCCCAUUUAUCCAUUCUCAGUUCGGAUUGCAGUCUGCUACUCGACUGCAUGAAGUUGGAUCGCUAGUAAUCGCGGAU
rnacentral:rRNA from 1 species